GACGAACGCUGGCGGCGUGCUUAACACAUGCAAGUCGAACGGAAAGGCCCUGCUUUUGUGGGGUGCUCGAGUGGCGAACGGGUGAGUAACACGUGAGUAACCUGUCCUUGACUUUGGGAUAACUUCAGGAAACUGGGGCUAAUACCGGAUAGGAGCUCCUGCUGCAUGGUGGGGGUUGGAAAGUUUCGGCGGUUGGGGAUGGACUCGCGGCUUAUCAGCUUGUUGGUGGGGUAGUGGCUUACCAAGGCUUUGACGGGUAGCCGGCCUGAGAGGGUGACCGGCCACAUUGGGACUGAGAUACGGCCCAGACUCCUACGGGAGGCAGCAGUGGGGAAUAUUGCAAAUGGGCGGAAGCCUGAUGCAGCAACGCCGCGUGCGGGAUGACGGCCUUCGGGUUGUAAACCGCUUUCGCCUGUGACGAAGCGUGAGUGACGGUAAUGGGUAAAGAAGCACCGGCUAACUACGUG
rnacentral:rRNA from 1 species